rnacentral:rRNA from 1 species
AUGUUGAUGCAAGACUACUUCGCGGAGAAUCCAACAUAUCCACCGCACCUCUUCUGGAGAAGGUACCAAAUGCGCCGAUCCCUCUUUGUGAAAAUUGUUCAAGCUUGCGAGGCAAAUUGCCGGUAUUUUACUCAAAAAAGAAAUGCGGCAGGCUUAAAGGGAUUUAGUGCAUAUCAAAAAAUCUCCGCAGCUAUGCGGGCUUGCUAG